GUCAAAAAUUGUCAAAAAUUGUCAUAGUAUAGUAAGACAUGAAAAAUGGUCAAAAAAUGUCAUAAUAUAGUAAGGUGUCAAAAAUGGUCAAAAAAUGUCAUAGUAUAGUAAUGUGUCAAAAAUUGUCAAAAAAUAUCAUAGUAUAGUAAGACAUGAAAAAUGGUCAAAAAUUGUCAUAGUAUAGUAUGAUGUCAAAAAUGGUCAAGAAUUGUCAUGAUCUAGUAAGGCGUCAAAAAAUGUCAAAAAUGGUCAAAAAAUGUCAUAGUAUAGUAAGAUGUCAAAAACCAUCAAAAAAUGUCAUAGUAUAGUAAGACAUGAAAAAUGGUCAAAAAAUGUCAUAGUAUAGUAAGGUGUCAAAAACCAUCAAAAAAUGUCAUAGUAUAGUAAGGUGUCAAAAACCAUCAAAAAAUGUCAUUGUAUAGUAAGACAUGAAAAAUUGUCAAAAAUUGUCAUAGUAUAGUAUGAUGUCAAAAAUGGUCAAGAAUUGUCAUGAUAUAGUAAGGCGUCAAAAAUUGUCAUAAUAUAGUAAGACAUGAAAAAUGGUCAAAAAUUGUCAUAGUAUAGUAAGAUGUGAAAAAUGGUCAAAAAAUGUCAUAGUAUAGUAAGACAUGAAAAAUGGUCAAAAAUUGUCAUAGUAUAGUAAGGUGUCAAAAACCAUCAAAAAAUGUCAUAGUAUAGUAAGACAUGAAAAAUGGUCAAAAAAUGUCAUAGUAUAGUAAGGUGUCAAAAAUGGUCAAGAAUUGUCAUGAUAUAGUAAGGUAUCAAAAAUUGUCAAAAAAUGUUAUAGUAUGGUAAGAUGUCAAAAAUUGUCAAAAAAUGUCAUAGUAUAGUAUGGUGUCAAAAACCAUAAAAAAAUGUCAUAGUAUAGUAAGGUGUCAAAAACCAUCAAAAAAUGUCAUAGUAUAGUAUGGUGUCAAAAACCAUAAAAAAAUG